UACAAGGCAUCAGCGAGUUUGGGACUUAAGCAUUUGCUGCCUGAUCCUCCUUGCUUGGGCCCUGCAGACCAACACCUUCCUUUCUACAGCUGCAAACCUUGCUGUACAUAUCUGGUUCUACUGUGCCAGACAAAGAAUUGAUUCAAUGCCAGACUGUCUGGAGCCAGUAGAACUGAAGAAAAUGAUGACUACUAGGGAAUAGAUUUUAAUAUGUGUAAUAUGGUUUAGUUGACCACAAUUAUUAACAAUCAACAUAUCAUAGAAACAAUAUAUUGUUUUCCCUAAUAAUCAGGCCUGGGUCUACAGAGUUGUACUGAGAACAGGAUUAGUGUGGCUGAUGAUAUAUGAAGAGUAAUCUUUGUCACACAGCCUGAAAGAUUAUUAAAUGUCUACUUGGUCAAGCACUUAAAGCAUGCA
rnacentral:lncRNA from 1 species